CAGUCGCCGCGGUAAUACGUAGGGUGCGAGGGUUAAUCGGAAUUACUGGGCGUAAAGCGUGCGCAGGCGGUUUGUUAAGACAGAUGUGAAAUCCCCGGGCUUAACCUGGGAACUGCAUUUGUGACUGGCCGGCUAGAGUAUGGCAGAGGGAGGUGGAAUUCCACGUGUAGCAGUGAAAUGCGUAGAUAUGCGGAGGAACACCGAUGGCGAAGGCAAUCCCCUGGACCUGUACUGACGCUCAUGCACGAAAGCGUGGGGAGCAAACAGGAUUAGAUACCCCCGUAGUCCCUGUCUCUUAUAA
rnacentral:rRNA from 1 species